AACGCUGGCGGCGUGCUUAACCCAUGCAAGUCGAACGGAAAGGCCCUGCUUUUGUGGGGUGCUCGAGUGGCGAACGGGUGAGUAACACGUGAGUAACCUGCCCUUGACUUUGGGAUAACUUCAGGAAACUGGGGCUAAUACCGGAUAGGAGCUCCUGCUGCAUGGUGGGGGUUGGAAAGUUUCGGCGGUUGGGGAUGGACUCGCGGCUUAUCAGCUUGUUGGUGGGGUAGUGGCUUACCAAGGCUUUGACGGGUAGCCGGCCUGAGAGGGUGACCGGCCACAUUGGGACUGAGAUACGGCCCAGACUCCUACGGGAGGCAGCAGUGGGGAAUAUUGCACAAUGGGCGGAAGCCUGAUGCAGCAACGCCGCGUGCGGGAUGACGGCCUUCGGGUUGUAAACCGCUUUCGCCUGUGACGAAGCGUGAGUGACGGUAAUGGGUAAAGAAGCACCGGCUAACUACGUG
rnacentral:rRNA from 1 species